AAAAUGAGCAGAUACUUGUGAGAAGCUGUUGAGAUGUUUCUGUCACCAACUGUUGAUUGUCCAAGUAUUUUAUUAUAUUUUUCUUGGCAUAAAUUAAUUGUACAGUGGUUUCACUGUGAUAUUCAACACAUGCAUAAAAUAUACUUUGAUCAAAUUCAUCCCAUCUUCUUUCUUUCUUAACCCUUCUUUCUCCUCUACUUUUGAACAGUUUUCAGUGAGCUUCAAUGUUAUUUUCAUACAUUUGUUACAUAUCAUAUGUUUU